AUGAGAGAUACAUACAAUAUUGCAGUCCUGGAACAGAGUGUGCCAUGCAAGACAGCAGGAGUGCAGCGUGACUAAAGGACAAGGAGGAAUGCCCAUAUAUCACAUCCUGUCCACUCUGCUGCCUGACUCCCAUUUACCUAGUUACCACCAGGACAAAAAUUAAAAUAAGCAAUGGUAAAAACAAAGGCCAAGACUGUGCAUGGCUCCCUAGAGAACACCCAAACAGGCCGAGGUAGAAUAGGACGUAGGCAGCAGAAUUGGUACCAACCAGCAGAUCUCCUAGUGAAUGGCAGAUGUGCAACACAAUCCUCACAAUAUAUUAUUCUGCAAUCAAGGUGGACCUGUGAUUAAAGAUGAUCUGUUCCUUUAAGGUCACAAGCUCUAAUUAUGGUGAACAGCGGAAUUUAAUCUAAGUUUGA